rnacentral:rRNA from 1 species
CCUACGGGAGGCAGCAGUGAGGAAUAUUGGUCAAUGGCCGGAAGGCUGAACCAGCCAAGCCGCGUGAAGGACGAAGGUGCCAAGCAUUGUAAACUUCUUUUGUCAAGGGACAAAAUCAGGCUCGAGAGCCUGACCGAGGGUACUUGAAGAAAAAGCAUCGGCUAACUCCGUGCCAGCAGCCGCGGUAAUACGGAGGAUGCGAGCGUUAUCCGGAUUUAUUGGGUUUAAAGGGUGCGUAGGCUGGCUGUUAAGUCAGCGGUAAAAGCCCGGGGCUCAACCCCGGCGCGCCGUGGAAACUGGCUGUCUUGAGAUGUAGAGAGGUAUGCGGAAUGCGCAGUGUAGCGGUGAAAUGCUUAGAUAUUGCGAAGAACUCCGAGUGCGAAGGCAGCAUACCGGCGGCGAUCUGACGCUGAGGCACGAAAGCGUGGGUAGCGAACAGGAUUAGAUACCCUAGUAGUC